CCGACGGCGGCCCCAGGGACAGCGGAGGGGCCCCGCGGGACGGGUGUCCCCCUCGCCGCGAGGGAUGGGUGCAGGAGUCCUGUCCCCUUUUUUCCUUCAGAACCCAUGAGAUUUUCCCAGCCCAUGACAUCCACAGCAGCUGAAUCCUCUCCACCAGCAUCAGAGAAGACCAAAGCUGGGAUUUGAAACAAAAGAGGGAAACAUUGAAAUGGCAGAAAUUGGUUUUCUCAGAAGGAAGACCCAGAUUAACAGAGCCCGAGGAGCUCUUGGUUCCAGAGGAAUUCCUCCAUGACGCACCUCUCUCCUUCCUCCCUCCGGCUGGGACACGAGGAAACGAAAGCACGCUCCCAUUUUCCCGGUGACUAUUAUUUCCUGUAUUAUGGUAAUAACUACAGCCAUCCUGCUGACAGCCCCUGUCCCCAGGCCAGGCCUGCUUACUGUGGGAUGACAAAAAAGUUUCCACACACACGGCCCUUUUUCUUCAUCCUGCCUCUCUUUUGGGCACAGGCUUCCAGCAAUGCCAACGAGAUUGGAUCAGCAUGUUGUAAAUGGAUCUAAUUGGUUUUGUCCCCUGGUGUUUGAUGACUUUUAAGAUGGGUAUGGCUCUCAGAACAGGCAAGUAGAAUUUGUUACCACAGGCUGGGGGUGCUGUUUAGCACCUGGAUCUAACAGCAGGGCACUGUACAGUUGUUUCUCUGCUGAGCCACUGAGCCUCUUCACUGUGGGUAAAUGCUACACCUCUUCAUCUUCCUUGUCCUCAGCAGCUCUGGUAGGUAAGGGCCCACCAGCCCACCCUGCAGACCUCAGAGUCCUCCUUGACCACCUUUAGCCACCCAUAACUCGUAGGGUGCUUCAGAGUGGCUCCAGGCUGCACCUCAUUUCCAAGUGUCAUGUACAAGACACCCCAAAUGCACAGAGCUGGAACUGCAGUCAUUUCAGCCAGGCAGCCAACACAUGUGUGAAAACAGUCCUUUUUCAUCUGACAGGCUUUAAUCUUCAUCAAACCUGCUUGGCUUUAAUCUUCAUGAAACCUGCUUGUGGUUUGGGGCUCUGUGAUGGAUUUCCAGUGGUCAAUACAGAGGGUUCACUUGCCCUUCAGAAUAAAUAUGAACUGGGUGAA